AAAAAAAUAAACAAUUGAAACCAUAAUACCAAUCUCUGCGCUUUUUUUUUCACACACUCUCUUCCUCUUUUUUUCUAUUUCCUAAUUUUUCUUUUUUUUUUCCUUUCCUUUUCCAUUUGGGUAA
rnacentral:ribozyme from 15 species